rnacentral:misc_RNA from 1 species
CAGGGCAAUAUGCACGGU